CUCUUGUGAUGACUCUUUUUACGUGCCACGUGUCUGGGCCACUGAUUAAUAGUGAUGGGAUUGAGGAUCUGAGGAG